CCGAGCGCUCGCCCAAGGGUCUAGCCCUGGGGCGUACCUCCCACCCCUUGCCUACCGUCCUGUUGCUUUGGUGGACCAUUUCCCCUUGGGGAUCCGAUGCCUAGCGCUCGAUAGCGUUCACCAGAGCCCCCCAAACACGACCGACGCGCUGAGCCGUCUGAGUAGUGAUUGUAUAAUCGUCUA
rnacentral:misc_RNA from 1 species